rnacentral:rRNA from 1 species
AACGCGAAGAACCUUACCAGGGUUUGACAUCCUGUGCCAUGUUCAGAGAUGAACAGUUCCCGCAAGGGACGCAGAGACAGGUGCUGCAUGGCUGUCGUCAGCUCGUGUCGUGAGAUGUUGGGUUAAGUCCCGCAACGAGCGCAACCCUCGCCUUUAGUUGCCAUCAUUAAGUUGGGCACUCUAGAGGGACCGCCGGCGACAAGCCGGAGGAAGGUGGGGAUGACGUCAAGUCCUCAUGGCCCUUACACCCUGGGCUACACACGUGCUACAAUGGCGGUGACAAUGGGCAGCUACCUCGCGAGAGGAUGCCAAUCUCAAAAAACCGUCCCAGUUCAGAUUGCACUCUGCAACUCGGGUGCAUGAAGGUGGAAUCGCUAGUAAUCGCAGAACAGCAGGCUGCGGUGAAUACGUUCCCGGGCCUUGUACACACCGGCUAC